CUAAUGUCUUUAAUGUGAUGCGGCAAUUUCUGUAAUUCUCCUACAGAGGUCCCACACAGCUACAUUAUGAAAACAACAAAUAGCAAAUCUUCUGUCAUGAAGUUGAAUAUAAUGUGGUUUAGGCAGAGAACAGCUGACUUGUUGACGAAAGUGUCCUAGCAAAAGAGAAGUCACCUUACCUGGAUGAGAUGCAAAAUAAUUUUGAAGGCAAGGCUCAUUUAUAACAUCUACUUUAGAAUACAGUUGCUACAAGCACAGACUUUGGAAACAGUUCUGACACCAAUAUGAAAAAUUUUCC
rnacentral:lncRNA from 1 species